GACGAACGCUGGCGGCGUGCUUAACACAUGCAAGUCGAACGGAAAGGCCCUGCUUUUGUGGGGUGCUCGAGUGGCGAACGGGUGAGUAACACGUGAGUAACCUGCCCUUGACUUUGGGAUAACUUCAGGAAACUGGGGCUAAUACCGGAUAGGAGCUCCUGCUGCAUGGUGGGGGUUGGAAAGUUUCGGCGGUUGGGGAUGGACUCGCGGCUUAUCAGCUUGUUGGUGGGGUAGUGGCUUACCAAGGCUUUGACGGGUAGCCGGCCUGAGAGGGUGACCGGCCACAUUGGGACUGAGAGACGGCCCAGACUCCUACGGGAGGCAGCAGUGGGGAAUAUUGCACAAUGGGCGGAAGCCUGAUGCAGCAACGCCGCGUGCGGGAUGACGGCCUUCGGGUUGUAAACCGCUUUCACCUGUGACGAAGCGUGAGUGACGGGAAUGGGUAAAGAAGCACCGGCUAACUACGU
rnacentral:rRNA from 1 species